AUGAACGCUGGCGGCGUGCCUAAUACAUGCCAGUCGCGCGAACAGACGAGGAGCUUGCUUCUCUGACGUUAGCGGCGGACGGGUGAGUAACACGUGGAUAACCUACCUAUAAGACUGGGAUAACUUCGGGAAACCGGAGCUAAUACCGGAUAAUAUAUUGAACCGCAUGGUUCAAUAGUGAAAGACGGUUUUGCUGUCACUUAUAGAUGGAUCCGCGCCGCAUUAGCUAGUUGGUAAGGUAACGGCUUACCAAGGCAACGAUGCGUAGCCGACCUGAGAGGGUGAUCGGCCACACUGGAACUGAGACACGGUCCAGACUCCUACGGGAGGCAGCAGUAGGGAAUCUUCCGCAAUGGGCGAAAGCCUGACGGAGCAACGCCGCGUGAGUGAUGAAGGUCUUCGGAUCGUAAAACUCUGUUAUUAGGGAAGAACAAAUGUGUAAGUAACUAUGCACGUCUUGACGGUACCUAAUCAGAAAGCCACGGCUAACUACGUG
rnacentral:rRNA from 1 species